GACGAACGCUGGCGGCGUGCUUAACACAUGCAAGUCGAACGAAGUGGCGAACGGGUGAGUAACGCGUAAUCAACCUGCCCUUCAGAGGGGGACAACAGUUGGAAACGACUGCUAAUACCGCAUACUGAGGGAGGGGAUUGCGUCUGAUUAGCUAGUUGUGGGGGUAACGGCCCACCAAGGCGAGGAUCAGUAGCCGGUCUGAGAGGAUGAACGGCCAAAGUUGGACUGCGAACAGGCCCAGACUCCUACCGGAGGCAGCAGUUGGGAAUCUGCCGCAAUGGACGAAAGUCUGACGGAGCAACGCCGCGUGAGUGAUGACGGCCUUCGGGUUGUAAAGCUCUGUUAAUCGGGACGCGGUACCGGAAUAGAAAGCCACGGCUAACUACGUGCCAGCAGCCGCGGUAAUUC
rnacentral:rRNA from 1 species